AUCCAGAUGACAAGUUCCAAAUAGGACGAAAGGCGCAUCCUAGAU
rfam:Schistosoma rodhaini strain Burundi genome assembly, scaffold: SROB_scaffold0001344